rnacentral:misc_RNA from 1 species
UCUUCUGGAUAUAUGGACAAAA